rnacentral:rRNA from 1 species
UGGGGAAUUUUCCGCAAUGGGCGAAAGCCUGACGGAGCAAUACCGCGUGAGGGAGGAAGGUCCUUGGAUUGUAAACCUCUUUUCUCAGGGAAGAAGUUCUACGGUACCUGAUGAAUAAGCAUCGGCUAACUCCGUGCCAGCAGCCGCGGUAAUACGGAGGAUGCAAGCGUUAUCCGGAAUUAUUGGGCGUAAAGCGUCCGUAGGUGGUUAUGCAAGUCUGCCGUUAAAGAAUGGAGCUUAACUCCAUAGGAGCGGUGGAAACUGCAAGACUAGAGUACAGUAGGGGUAGCGGGAAUUCCCAGUGUAGCGGUGAAAUGCGUAGAUAUUGGGAAGAACAUCGGUGGCGAAAGCGUGCUACUGGGCUGAAACUGACACUGAGGGAAGAAAGCUAGGGUAGCGAAAGGGAUUAGAUACCCCUGUAGUC